GCUAAUAUCGUGCAAGGAGCGGGGGUGAUGCGUAGGGGGCAAUCGUGAUCCGGAAUUGUUGGGCGUAAAGCGGGCGUAGGCGGUUUUUUAAGGCUGAGGUGAAAGCCCACGGCUCAACCGUGGAGGGUCAUUGGAAACUGGAAAACUUGAGUGCAGAAGAGGAAAGUGGAAUUCCAUGUGUAGCGGUGAAAUGCGCAGAGAUAUGGAGGAACACCAGUGGCGAAGGUGACUUUCUGGUCUGCAACUGACGCUGAUGUGCGAAAGCGUGGGGAUCAAACAGGAUUAGAUACCCGGGUAGUC
rnacentral:rRNA from 1 species